rnacentral:rRNA from 1 species
AUGAACGCAGCGGCAGGCUUAAUACAUGCAAGUGAGGGCAGCAUGAUAUACGCGAGUAUAUUGAUGGCGACCGGCGGACGGGUGAGUAAUAGGUAGGAGACCUACCUCAUACAGGGGGAUAGCAUAGAGAAAUCUGUGGUAAUACCCCAUGAGGUUAUAUGAAUAGAGGCAUAUAAUCAAAGCAUAAGCGAUUAUGCGGUAUGAGAGGGGCCUACUGACCAUUAGCUAGUUGGUGAGGUAAGGGCUCACCAAGGCGAAGAUGGUUAGGGGUUUUGAGAGAGAGACCCCCCACAUUGGAACUGAGAGACGGUCCAGACUCCUACGGGAGGCAGCAGUAGGGAAUAUUGGGCAAUGGGCGAAAGCCUGACCCAGCCAUGCCGCGUGAAGGAAGACGGCCUUAUGGGUUGUAAACUUCUUUACUACGCGAAUAGAGGUUAGUACGAGAUACUAAUAGGAAGGUAGUGUAGUAAAAAGCACCGGCUAACUCCGUG